rnacentral:lncRNA from 1 species
CUACACUUUUAACUUUGUCAUGAAUUGGAGCUCACACGGUUCGUUCUGCAUUUUUUUCCCAUGUAGUUGUCAAGUCUAAAAUGUUUGCACUCCAAGAAAAUUUACAUUUAGGACAAAAUCUUUCAAGCAAAUUUUGGAAUUAUACCAUUGCCUAUUUCAGCAUUUUCCUAUGUAGUGUUUUUACUCUUCCAAAAAGAGGGUAAAAAUCCUUGGAACCAAAUUUUAGAAUUCUUGGUGUUCAAUACAAUUUUGUUGAACUAAUGAUGUCCACUAAACGAUUUGGUCUUUCAGGUACACUUUUUGGAUGCAUUUGUUUGUGCAGCAGCCAUAGUAUUCAUAGUCAUGCUGGUACCUAAAACAAAAGGCCGAACUCUUGAAGAAAUUCAAGCUUCCAUGAACUGAUUGAUUUCAUAUAGAAACAAUACAGUUACAAAUAACUGGUGUAUCUUUCAAUAGAGCUAUUUAGAAAGGAAGAUCAUUUGAUCUUUUCCAAAAUAAAAUUCAACCCAUUGAUUAUGUUGCAUUGUUCUAUGGCUUUUGUCAUCACUAUUACUACCUUGGUUCUAUAUUUUGAAAAAUGAUCUACUAAGGUCUUUUUCUUAGUUACUUUUUCAAUAGGCUCAAUGAGAUAUCAUAUGGUUUGUCCCAAAUCAAACAAAUUCAAAGCAGUAGAUUGAAGAACCUUUUUGAGUGUAAAGCAUCACUUACUCCUUGUGCAUUCAUCAAUGUUAAGCUAUUCAUCAAUUAUCAU